rnacentral:lncRNA from 1 species
GUUAACUCAACUCAAAGGGUGAUGAGUUUAUUAGCUUUGGUAUUUGGUGGGAACUGGGGCCGGUGAUAUCCUCUCAAUCUUUCUCUCUCACCCUCUCUCACUGACUUGUCUCUCUUUCUCACCUCUCUCUUGCUCUCACUCUCUCAGUCUCCUCUCUCUCUGCAUGUCUUGGGUUUUGGAUGGAUAAAUGUGUUUUCAGUCAAUGAAAGCUCUCACGUAGUAGAGCUAGAACCUAGCUGUCAGUUGCAGUUCAUUUAGUUGCAUUAGGUAUUAUGGUCAGUGAUUUUUUUGCACUAAGCAAAUAUGAUGAGUGCCUUUCUUGGAUAAGCAUGUUAUUAGAAAUAAGCCGCCAGAAGGGGACAUUGCCAAAGUAUACGUGUAUUCAAAAGCUAAGAGACAAAGCAUAAAGAUCAUUGCUCCUACAAAAUGGCACCAAGUAAAAGAAGAGGAUGAGUGACUUGCUGUGGUGUUGCAGUUUGCAGGCUAUCAGCCUGUGUGGGAUGGAGAUGUCUUCUUUCUUAUUCCUUGUUUAGUGUUGGUGGUGGGGUUUCAUGGAAGCUAGCUUAUUUUUUGAAAGGAAAAAACAAUCAUAGUUUCAGUUCAUUUAGAUAUACAGCAGUGAAGUAUCAAGUUUUGAGGAGAUCUUAUAUAUAUUGCGUG